rnacentral:tRNA from 1 species
AUUUAAAUAGUUCAAUUUUUAGAAUAAUAAUUUGUGGUAUUAUAGGUGAUGCUAUUCUUUAAAUC